AGGCGGUUAGCUCAGUUGGUUAGAGCGCUACGUUGACAUCGUAGAGGUCGGCAGUUCGAAUCUGCUACUGCCUACCA
rnacentral:tRNA from 1 species